rnacentral:rRNA from 1 species
AAAAACAUUUCUUAUAAUUUUAUUAUAAGUAAAAUCUGCUCCAUGUAAUAUAAAUAGCCGCAGAAUUUUAACUGUGCUAAGGUAGCAUAAUCAUUUACCUUUUAAUUAAAGGUUUGUAUGAAAGAUUUAACAUUUAAAUUUCUUUUUUAUAAAUAAACAUUUAACCUAUAAUAAAAAUAAAAAUAUUUUUAUAAAAAAAAAAGACGAUAAGACCCUAUUGAACUUAACUUAUGUUAAGCUGGGGCAGCUAAUUAAACACUAUUUUAAUUAAUAAUAAAAUUAGCUAUCUAAUAAAAUUAAAUUUAACAAGUUACCAUAGGGAUAACAGCGUAAUAUAAUUUUCAAGCUCAUAUUUAAAAUUAAGCUUACGACCUCGAUGCUGAAAU